rnacentral:rRNA from 1 species
GCAAGAGAGCGAUCUGGAGGCAAAACUCUAAAAAACAAUCUCAGUUCAGAUUGCAGGCUGCAACUCGCCUGCAUGAAGUCGGAAUUGCUAGUAAUCGUAGGUCAGCAUACUACGGUGAAUACGUUCCCGGGCCUUGUACACACCGCCCGUCAAACCAUGAGAGUUGGCAACACCCGAAGUCGGUAGUCUAACCGCAAGGAGGACGCCGCCGAAGGUGGGGUUGAUGAUUAGGGUUAAGUCGUAACAAGGUAGC